GCCAGCAUGACGCAGUGGUCUGAACAUUGGACUACAACUUUGGAGAUCAGGGUUCGAUUCCCUGUUUGGCC